CUCGGAGUAGGAGAGUUCUGACAAUAUGUAGGAGAACAAGCAUGUGGUGGAGAGCUUCGCGCUACGUUCGUUCAGUCGAACUUAUUCUGAGAACGCAUUUCGUAGAUUCUAAAAACUAAAAAUAUUGUUACCUAAGAGGCGCUGUGGUGAAUUAUCAUCUCUGAGAACAAAGCAAGAUACUGAGGUUUCGCAUAACCUCUCUCCAUAAUGUCUGGAAAAGGUUUUGUAAGGGUGAAACUACUCCAAAUAGAAGUUGGAGAUGAAGCAGUCGAAGGCUGCAGUAGUAGUCUCAUCGAUCCUUUCUGCGCUGUCAACUUGAAGGAAACAGUAGACAGUCCUGGAAAAGGAGUCCAACUAGUCCAACGUAAUGAGACUUUAUAUCCGGAGUGGAAUUCAUGUUUUGACGUGCCGCUUUUCCGAGG